GUGUACAGUGGGAAAAGCCAUUAAGCACACUCAGGAGGAAUUGACCUAGGGUCACUUACUUUAUCACUUGCUCAUCGCUAGCUGGAAAUACACCUUUUAAAUUGCAUAAAGACUGAAACGAUGGUUUAAAUUAUUUGAGCUUUGAUCUCAUUCUUAAUUGAAAUAAUUCUAAUUAUUUCAUCUAACUCUAAAUCUCAGAUUGUACUGGGAGAGUUAGUUCUUAGGUAGGUUGAUUAGAAGUCCAGGGAGUCCAAAGAGGAGCAGAAAGCUGUCUGGGGCUCUUGAAGAGGAGAAAAGGACAAACUUUUUUUUUUCUCUACAUUCCUUCAUCUUAGUCACAUAACAGGGUGGUAUAUUGAUGGAUGGUAGAUGAUGAAUGGAUGGAUAGAUGGAUAGCAGAAAAGUAAAUAGAUCAGUUAGAUUGCAUGUGCAGCAGUGAAGAUGUCCUUUAGUUUUAUUUAAGGACAGGGUUUUGGAGGAGGUAAUGCUUUGGGGAAAAAAGUACAAUUCUUGCCGUGUUCUAGAAACUGUGUGAAGGAUAGAAUUUGAAUACAAAACUACAGUAAUCUGAUGAGUCAGAAAUCCAUCACAUAUAUCAGACAAAAAGGAUAAGGUAAAACUAAAAUACAGUAGGAAGAGAGGAAAGAACAACUUGAAGAAGGAUUUGUGUAGUAUAUUGGAAGAACAUGUCAGUGAUUGUGUGGAUGAGGUUUGUGAUAAAGAGUGAAACUCCGUUAUGACAUUUGGUUGCAAAUAAAUUUUAAGACUCACAUCUGCUUCCUAUGCUUCUCACCUGGGCACAAUGAGAAAGGAGGCCAGGUGUUGCCCCUUUAGCAUGUGUAGGAGAUUCAAACCACACAACCACCUCAGUUCCUGGGGGAAUCCUCACCCAGGCCCACCCCUAGCCACAAUAAAAGCCUCAACCCAGAUUGCUCUCUUUGUUCUCUCAUGCCGUUUUGGAUGUGCCUGAGACAGCACUGCUCAUCCUGGAGAUCUCAAUUAUCUAUAGGCUUCGAAAAUCUGGCUUGGAACACUCGAAAGACUGCAGACAUAAGAAUAAGUCUUCAUUGCCUUGGAUGUUUACCAGCAUACCUCAGUGGACCACCUUCCAAAGUCAAUUAAAUCACAGCAUAUUGCCUGAGAACUGCAUCUCAUGAGCUGCUUAUACCCAUGUGUUGCUUCUUUCUUCAUUUCUGGAAUGUUACUAUUACUCGGUUUACAUUUCUAGUUCUUUCUCGUUCCCAUUACCCAUAAUGUUCAACCUACAUGUUUCUUCCUUUUCAGAUGUAACUCAUCUGUCAUGACUUCCCUAAAGGCUCCCUGCUUUAAAAAAAAACCUCACCUGUUCUCUUCAGAAAGUGGAAUUUUCCUCCUGUGAGCCACCAUGUCACGUUGUAUGUCCACUGUUGGUUCAUUUAUCAUAAUCUUGACUCUAUAGUAAUUGGUUUUAUAUUUAACCAUUACUACUCAAAUUGUAUCUCUUAAUAAAACUCAUUUACAUCACUUUCA